rnacentral:rRNA from 1 species
GAUGAACGCUGGCGGCGUGCCUAAUACAUGCAAGUCGAGCGAACAGACGAGGAGCUUGCUCCUCUGACGUUAGCGGCGGACGGGUGAGUAACACGUGGAUAACCUACCUAUAAGACUGGGAUAACUUCGGGAAACCGGAGCUAAUACCGGAUAAUAUAUUGAACCGCAUGGUUCAAUAGUGAAAGACGGUUUUGCUGUCACUUAUAGAUGGAUCCGCGCCGCAUUAGCUAGUUGGUAAGGUAACGGCUUACCAAGGCAACGAUGCGUAGCCGACCUGAGAGGGUGAUCGGCCACAGGGGAAGUGAGACGCGGUCCAGGGUCCUAGGGGGGGCAGCGGUGGGGAAUCUUGCGAAAUGGGCGAAAGACUGACGGAGCAACGCCGGGUGGGUGAAGAAGGGCUUCGGGUGGUAAAACUGUUUUAUGGGGGAAAAAAAAAUGUGUAAGUAACUAAGCCCGUCUUGAGGGUACCUAAAAAGAAACCCACGGUUAAUCCCGG